UUUUUGUAAGAUGUUGAAGUCCAGUUUGUUUUGAGAAUGUAAGCAAAGUCUCAUUGUGAGAAGGUUGUUGCUGGUAAAUUUCAAAAUACUCUCUUGCCUUGACUCUUGGAACACAUUUUCUAAUAGGAAAUUUCAAUGCAUUACUAACUUCAGAUGCAAAAUUUGGAUUAAUAUUUGAGUAAAGAUGAAUAUAUGCUUUAAGAUGUGUGGUUGUAAAUUCAAGAGCUUCCUCAAGCAAAGCUUCUCCAUGCCCCCUCAUAUGUGAUGCUUCAUAUAGGCUCAAUAUUCCUCUUUCAUCCUCAACCAAUGACUCUUUAAAUUUUCCAUUGUUGUCCAUGAACUUCAAAAAUAUAUCUGUUUUUAAUUUAAAUUAAGAGUGAAAAAGAACGCAUGAUGAGUUCUUAAGUUAAUUGAAUUUAAAAAAUGCUUAAUUUUGGAAGUUUCUAACUCUUUGCACUUUGACCUCGAAUAAUGUUUAAAACUAAAAAUAAGAAAACAAUUAUAUUUGUGUAUUUAACUUACCACAUGAAAUCCUAUAACCAUGUUGCCUGAGAAGUCGAAAUAGAAGAUCAUCAUCUUCACUAUCGUUGCUACUGAAUAAAAGGGAAUUAUUAUAAGACACAUACAUAUGUUCUAAGAAUUGAUCAAUCUCAUCUUCAAAAUGAUAAGAUACUCCCAGCCGUUGGAUUGAAUCAACCAAAUUUAGCUUUACCAAUGGAUUUUGCACAGAAGCAAUCACCUCCAUCCUUAUUUCUUCUUUCAAGUUUUCAAUUCUUUCUUUCAUGCCACCAUCUACUUUCUGAAAUAAAAAAAAAAAAAAUCAAAUUUAUUAAAAAUAUAAAAGUAUUAAUUAAAAUUUAAGCACGAACAAUAAAGUACUAGUAAUUAAAUUUUAAGACAAUAAAAUAACUUUUACCAAUGCAUCAACAAAUUUAAAUGAAAGAAAAUGUUCCUUCCAAAUAGUAGGAUGAAAUUUGCAAGAGAACGCUUAACAACAGAAAUAUCAUUGGUUUUCAUAAUGGAAGCUGGAACAUUUGAAACUUGAGAAGACAUGAUUUCUAAUUUUUCAAAGUAGAAAAGAAAAAUAGAAAAGGUAUUUGGGAUAAUCCUCUUGCCAAAAAGAAAAAUGUAUAUGUUAUUGACUUGAGAGUUUGAACUAUGGGUGAGACACUUCGUGACUUUCAAGCAGAUUUAUUUAUAGGCUAUUUUUCAUAGAUAUUUUGCAAAUUCUUAUCAUAUAUAUUGUAUUUUGUCCAACAUUAUUUACUUAUUUUUAUAAAAGAAUUUGAAUUUAAAUUUUAAAUUAAAAAAAAAAAAUUUGUUUCCCUCCCUAUUUUUUCCCAAUCAUCCCUUAUUUUUGUUUUCCUUUGUCACCAUGCUCAUACAUUCCCACUCUUCCACUUUCUUUCACUCUCACACCUUCUCCCACUUUCUCUCCGUAGUCUUUCACUCCACUUCACUUACUUAUCUAAAAAUAAACUAAAUAAACGAUCAAACUUACCCUAAACCUUUGACUAUAAGAAGAGAAGGAGGAGAUUCUUUUUUGAGGGGAUUUUUAGAGGAAAGGUACACUUAAAAAUAGAAUUUUUUUCAUAUGUAUUGUGAUUUGAGAAGAGAUUGAGAGGAUCAAGAAAAAACAUUUUGCAUUUAAGUCAGGUUAGUUUUUUUUUUCUUUUUUUAAAUUCAUGGUUGAUGAUUCUGCGUUAGUUAUUUGACACCCAUUUAGGCGUUGUCUUAAUUAUUCAUUUGAAUCACUCAUUUGGCUCCUAUGUUAAUUAUUCAUUUGCGUUAAUUAUUUGCAUCUGUAUUAAUGUGUUAAUUCUUCAUUUGCCAUCCUGUGUUAAUUAAUGAAUGAGCAUGUUGGCUUAUUCUAAUUACUUGGCACACAUUUGGCAUUUUGAGUUAAUUAUUUGCAUCUCGUUAAUUAUUUAACACCAAUUUGGCCUCUUGUUUUAAUUAUUCUCAUGUAUUAAUUAAUUAAUCGGCAUCCUCCAUCAUGCAAUAAUUAUUUGGCAUCCAUUUGGCUAUUUGACACCCAUUUGGCCUCUUGUGUUAAUUAUUCUCGUGUAUUAAUUAAUUAAUCUACAUCAUGCAUCCUGCAAUAAUUAUUUGACAUCUAUUUGACUAUUUGGCACCCAUUUGGCCUAUUGUGUUAAUUACUCUUGUGUUAAUUAUUUUCACAUAUUAAUUAAUUAGCAUGCUGACCUACUUUAAUUAAAUAAUUAGUAUAGCAAUAAGGUUGGGUACCUUAUCCUAAUAACACUAUGGAUAUAACUCACUUUGUAUUUGAUAUAAACACAAUGAUCCAACGCGUUCGUGUAGUUGACAUGCGAGUGAGGGUAUCCUAUGCAAUGAGUUUGCAUAAGACCGGACCGCGAAAUAGUAACCACUAAAUGUAACUCCUUUAACUAGUUAGGUUUCUAUUUCAUUAGGAUGACCUAGUUAACUUAGUUUUAAUCCUAAAUGUAUUAUGAACUCUUGUUCGUGUGAGAUUAUUCUUUCAUUUGUACGGGUAUGAGAGUGGCUAGAUCACCAACUUAAUAAGCGUAUCAUUUUGGGAACAAGACCGAGUGUGGAGCUAGAAAAAUAAUUACACAAGAUAGAAUUCACUCAUUCCCUACUUUGGGUAACUAGAUGAUUGUUCUUUUAAAUGGUGUUUCGAGGACUUGAACAAAGGGCCCCAUCCUCUCUAUGGCAUGAGAGAAGUUUUUGUUUAUUGGUAGGACCAUAAACAGGUUGUUCAAUAGAGGAGUACUAGUAUUUAAGGAUUAGAGGUAACUUAGGGGUAAAACGGUAAUUUGAUCCAACUAGUGUUUACAAACACUCGUAAAGAACUAACUUACUGUUAUUGGUCUAUAUCUGUGGACACAAAAAUAUAUCUACAGUGAGAAGAGUUCAGCUGUGAGUUAAUGAGUUUAGCCAAUUAAUCUCAAAUCCUUAUAGUUUCUGAUAUGUAGUUCCAUUAGAUCCUCUUCCUAGCUCAUAAAGGGUAACGAAGUUUAUUUAUAUUGGUUGUAAUUAGGUUUUAUUUAUAUUGAUUGUAAUUUGAAAUGUUCAAAAUUACUUUGAGAAUUAGUUUAAUGUAUAGUGAUAUAUUAUAAUAUAAUGUUUAUUAAACUUUAUUAUAUAAAUUUAAUUUUUGAUAUGAUUUAAAAUUAAUUUAUGAGAUAAAAAAUAUUUGAAUGAGUUUAAAUAUUAAUUUAAUAUGAAUUGGAUUCAUAUUAAAAUUAUUGGUUAUGAGAAACUUAUAUUUGAAUAUGAUUCAAAUUCAAUUUAAGUUAAAUAUAAGAUAUUUAAUUUAACUAUUAAUUAAUUGGAGAAUUAAUUAAAAGUUUAGUUUUAUUUUAUUUUAUUUUAUUAAAUUAAUAUAAAAUUAUAAGAUAUUGGAGAGAUAUUGAUUAAAUAAGAUUUAAAUGAAAUAUUAAUUAAUAUAUGAUCUAAUUAAUUGUUAACUAAUUGAUUAAUUAUUAAUUAAUUAGUAGAUUUGAAAUUUCUAUUAAUUUAAUAUUUUUUAAAUUAAUAGAAUCUCAUAAUUCUCUCCUACAUUAUUUUCUACUCCAAGAAGGAAAGAGAAUUAUAAAUAUCUAGAAGAAAAUAGUUUUCGAAAAAAAAGUAAAUGUUUUUUCUCUCUACAAAAAGAAAAUAGUUUCUCUCUAAACAUUUUUUUCCAUAUCAAUUGAUUCCCACAAAUCAAUCUCAUCCAAGAAGAUAGGAAGGUCUCUGACGAAUGGUGUCCUAAUUUGGAGAUUACUUUGUAGAUUCAGUGACAAACAAAUAAGUUUUUCUUUCUCUGAUAUAUAAUUAGAAAACAUGCAUCUUUAAGUCUUAAUAAGAAAACUACUUUCUUAAUAAAUUUUGCCAAUGUACUUGUAUUUUGGGAUUUUCAAAUUAAUUUGAGAAAUGAUUCUGUAGAAUCUUUUACUACCAUAUGCUUUUAUCCCUUAAGUCUUUUGCUUGGGUUAGACAUGUACCUUCUAAUUAAACUAGAUGAAUAAGAUAGAUCAGACUUAGUAGAAAUCAUUAGGUACAUUAUACUCCAUACAUUUGUGAGUCGGGGAUGUUUGUCAUGUACUUAACGUGGUUGAGAUCUUCUGGUUUUGGACUGUUAGCUGAUAGUUUGAAGUGUUGUGCAAGAGGAAUUGCUACUUGCUUAACAACUAACAUGUUACUUUAUAGCAGUAGUUACUUUGGUCUAUUGUUAGAAUCUGUUUUGUUCUUUCUCAUGUGAUGUCAAUGCCUAGAAUUCUCUUAGAUUCUCCAAGUUUCUUCAUAUCAAAUUCUUCCUUCAAGACUGUCUUUACUCUUGUAAUAUCAAUUUUAGAUUUUUCUACAAGAGUAGGUAAACCUUAGAAGAAUAGAAAUUUGAAUUUAUAAAUACACAACUAUCAUAGGAACUUUUAUUAAAAUGAAGUUUAGGGAUGAAAUCAUCAAACCUUUUAUACCAACACUUUGGUGAUUGUUUUAGACCAUAGGUUUUUUAUGAUAACAUACCUAGUCUUAUUUACCUUUUUCCGUGUAUCCUUGUAGUCACCUAAUUUUAUCCUAUAUUAUUUUCAAUAUUCUUUAAAAAUAUAUAUAUAAUGACUAAGUUUUUUAUUUUUUUCUUAAAAUAAUCAUUGUUAAAAAAAAUUCUUUAAUUAGCAUAUUUAUCAUUUUAAAAAAUCAACUUAAUUUUUUAAAAAAACUUUUUAAUUUAUUUGUUUUAAAUAAAAUCUUAUUUUGGCUUAUUUAUAUCAUUUUAGGGAAAAAAAACCGAAAAUCAAUUUUAAACAAAAAUCUUUUAAUAUCCAUUUGAUUUAUUAAUUUAUUUUUGACAAAAUCUUAAAAUAUCUCAUUUAAUUUACUUUAUCUAUUUUAGGAAAAUAAAAUUUUAUUUUAGUCACAUAAUAUCCAAUUUUUAUUUUAUUCUUAUUCAUUUUAUUUAUGGUACACCAUAGAUCUAUAAAUAGAGGUCUUUGUCAUUUGAAAUGAAGCAAGAAAUUUUUCAUUAGACAAAUUUAUGAAAGAGAAAAAAAAUUGGAGAAAGUUUCUUAGAGAAAAAAUUCUUUAGAAAGAGUUUAGAAAAAAAAUUAUUUAGAGAAAAUGUGUGAGGAGGGAUAAAUAUUGUUUGAAGAAAUUCUGUGCAAAAGGUGGGUCUUUAUUUUGUUCAUUACUUUAUUUUCUUUGUCAUACCUAAUUCCAUGUGAAAAUAAACUUAGUUAGAGGUUGCAUUGGAUAGAGAUUUACUCCGAAUGAUCCGCACCUCAAGUAAUUUUCUUUGAGAUUUGCAUCAUUAUUUAUUUUUCUUCUUUUCUAAAAGAAAAGAAAAUGUAGAUUUUUUUUUAUUUUUUUCUACUAAUUUUUUAAUCAUUAUUCUUUUUUUUAAAAAAAACAAAUCCUUUAGCCUUUUUCUUCUAUCUAAAAUACAGAUAGAAAGAAAACGACAUAAGAAAAAUGUUUGUUUUCUUUAUUUAUCGUUAUUUUUUACUUUUUUUUUAAGUUCAAACUGUUGACACUAAUUUUAUUUUGUCUAAAAUAUAGAGAAAGAAAGAACCAAAUAUAAAUGAAAUUUUAUUAUUAUUGUUUCUUUAGUAUUACUCUUUUUUUUCUUGUCAUUAUUGUUUUCCUUUUACUUUUUAUUUUAUUACUAUUACUUUUUUCCUUUUUACUUAUUAUUAUAAUUAUUUUUGUUUAUUUUAUAGCGUCGCCACCCUUCUCCUAUUUUUUCUUUCCUUAUUUUAUUUAUUGUUAUUAUGUUUCCUUUUUUUUACUUAUUUACAUUAAUAUCUUAAUAAUUAUUGUUAUAUGUAAAUGUACAAACUCUCUGUAUUUAAUUUGUUUUUAAUGUUUUAAAAUCUUUUCAAUUAAAAAUUCUCUAUGUUUUAAAACAAAUAUUUUUUUAAUCGUUUAACAAAUUUGUUUAUAAAUUUUCAUGCUUUUCAAAAUAUUCAAGAUUUAAUGUAUGAUUUCAUAAUGUUUCCUAAAUCAAUCUUUUUUAAUAACUUAUACCGUUUUCCUUAAACAAAAUCCUACGACAGAAUUUAGAAAAUUUGAGAGUUCGAUUUUCUAGAAUUUUUGAAGUGAAGAAUCAUAUUUUUAGAAGUCCAAGAUGUGAUCCUAAGAAAAAAUGAAUUUAAUCAAUGUUUUAAAAAAAAUCUUUAUUCAAAGACUAACCUAUGAUAGAUUUUGAGAAAUUAUAAUAAUUUUUCAUUUCUUUAAGGUGAAAAUUUUUCUUCAAUAUAUAGUAUAAUUAAUGGAAUAUUAUUUCAUUUAUUUUACGAGAUUACUCUUUCAAAUAUUGGAGUAAUGAGAAGUAAAAUAAGACGUUAGUUUGAAAAUAAAUUUAAAAAUAUUUUCAAUUCAAGAUUUGAAAUUUGGCCACCGUUUUUCUAAAUGGGUGUUGUGGGGUGUUAAUAACUUCUUCAUACACAAAUGACUCCCGAACUUAACUCUAUUUUUUGCAGACCAUUUUUUAAAAAAAUUACUUACUUUAUUUCGGUCCAAUUACACUGUAAAAAAAGAUUGGUGGUGUCUCCUAUUUUCUUUUAAAACUAACUCUUUUAAAGACAUCGACCGCUCCGCGUCGUGUCGGGCAUGUGACAACAUAGUUCAUGUAUAUGUCUACUAUCAAAUCACCAUGUAAGAAUGUUGUUUUAACAUCAAGUUGUUCAAGUUCUAUGUCUUUUUGAACAACUAAUUAAUGAAAAAAAACAUUUUUAUAGAGGUUUGUUUAACAACCGAUGAGAAUAUUUAAUGGUAGUCAAUUUUCUCUCUUUGUGUAAAGCCUUUGGCAACAAGCCUAGCUUUAUAUCUAGGAGGUUGAAGACCGGGAAUUCCUUCUUUAAGUUUAUAAAUCCAUUUGCAAGAUAUGGUCUUAAAAUUUCUAGGUAGCAUUACCAAAGUUCAUGUAUUAUUGAUAGUGAGAGAUUUCAUUUCAUCAUUCAUGACAUUUAUCCAAUGUCUAGAAGAUUCAUAUCAUUUGGGGAAAAACUUACAAAAUCUACAUUACUGUAUCUAGAAGGAGGAACAAUAGUCCUUCUUUGUCUAUCUCUAGCUAAAGAAUAAUGUGAUAAAUCUUCUUGUUCUUGAGAACAUUUUCCUCCUUCUUCCAGAGUAGGUGGUAGAGAGAUACUUGAUACUGUUUCUUUCCCGAUGGAAAUAGGAAGUUCAUUCGAUUCAUAGUUUAGUGGGUGCUCCACCUCAAUCUCAUGUGGUUUAUAAUUUGAAUAAAAUGUUUCAUAGCUUUACCAAGCAUAAACAUAGUAUCUUCCUUAAAACCCACAUAUCUACUAGUUAUACACUUUUUUUUUCUUCCAUAUGAUGCCACAUUCUAAACCCUUUAACUCCCUCUGUAAAACCUAGGAACAUACAUUUUAAAAUUUCCACAAACCUUGAGAAGCAACUGACAUCUCAAUUAUCACCAUGAUCGUCGUUACAACAACACAGGGAAUCAUCAUUCAUUAUUACACUACAAAAAAAUAGGGAUAUCCUGAAAAUGCUUAUCUAGUGCAUCGAGAUAUGUGGUGUCGGGAGACAGAGUAACUCAAGAAGUCGCAAGAUGAGCGUCAGACUCACUCUUCACCGACGUCACGUGUAAAACUUUGGGAGUUGUGUGACUAUUCUUGACGCCAUUAGUAACAUAUCGAGAAUAGUCACACAACUUCCUACGUGCACAUGCAAGGUGUCAGAGAAAAGAAAACAACUAAUUAAUAAUUGUUUUUAUUUCGACGCCAUGCAUGUAUGUAUACAUCAGGAGUUGUGUGACUAUUCCUAACGUGUUACUAAUGGUGCUGAGAAUGAUUCAAAACUUUUGACGUUUUUUGGUGCGUCGGGAGUUCUAUCAUUUAUUGAUCUAAAAGAGGAAGAGAUUGAGAGAGACGAAUGGCAAAUAAAGAAUUGUCUGCUUGCCGCUGUUUAUCCUCAACGUCGCUCGUCGUUGCCUUGCACCACCAUUUGCCUUCUUUCACUGCUCGUUGUCCUCUGCUGCAAUCACUUCAUUUCGUUAAGGUAAUGCUUUUUCUUUUUCUUUUUUUAAUUAUUUUGGUUUAGGUCGGUUCAUCUUUCGGUUGAAGGAGAAGGGGUAACCUAUAAUAAUAAUAACAUUGAUAAUGAUAAAUAUAAUAAUAAAAAUAGAAAGAACAAAAGUAUUCCCUUUUCUCUCUCUAUGUUUUCCAUAGGAGAAGAAAUGUUAAAGGUUAAGACAAAAAGAAACAAUGAUAAUAAUGACAAACAAGAAGAAAGUAAAAAUGAACUUUUCCUCGUUCCCUUUUAUCUCUCCAUGUUUUCAAUCCAACACAUAUACACUCAAUUUAUCUAAGUUUCUAUGGACAAAUAUUAAUAAGAAGAAUUUCGACCAAAGCAAGUUGUUAUAUACUUGUUUAAUAAAAUAAAUUGUUGCGAUUGUCCUAUAUGUGACAGAAAAAAAAUAUCGUUAAUAGAUAAACAAUGACAAUUUUUUUUAAAAAAAGAACGGUCACGAUUGUAAUAUAUUUGACUGAAAAAGUUGUCGUCAAUAGCAAAGUAAUGACAUUUUUAUACAAAAAAAAAAAAAAACUGUCGCGAUUGACAUAUUCAUGACAAUUAAAAAAUGUCACAAUAAAUGAAUUUAUGACAUUUAUUUAACCGUCGUUAAUACACAAAUGAUGAUAGUUAUUUGUUGUCAUAAAAUAAAAUAUGACAGUUAUUUGACGUCGUUGAAUUCUGAUUAACGACAUUUAUUUCAUGUCAUAAAAUAACUUAUUGCGACAGUUUUAAAAACUGUCAUCGAAGGACUUUCCAUGAUUCCUGCUUCUAUGACUGAAAAUAACUAUCGCGAAUUUCGUUUACGACAGUAAAUAACUGUCGUCGUAGAUCACUUUUCUUGCAGUGUAUUCAACAAUUUGUAAGCAGUGUACAGAAAUAAUUGCUACCAGAAAAGCACCUAACGUUCAAAAAAACGUUUAUUACAAUCAAGAUCUAGAAGCUUCUCAAGUUUUGAUUAUUAUAUAUAUAUAUAUUUGAAUAUUCAAUAUUAGAUAUUAAAUUCACCAUUCCUAAUUUAAUUGAAUUAUUUUUUAAUCAAAAUUGCCCAAUUUUUUUUUUAAUUUUCAGUUUUUUAAAAAACACAUAUAUUAACAAAUGUUAUUAAAAAAUAUACUAAACAAAAUUCAACUACAUUCUUACUAUCUCAUCUAAUUCUUACCUCCUCAAAUUUAUAUUUUAUGUACGUAUAUAUAUCUACCUAUUUUUAUUCUACACAUUUCUUUUAUUUUUCAAAGAAUAAUAAUAGUAAUAAGGACAAAGAUUUUAAAUUUUAAAAAAAGUAAAAAGUUUGUAAUAAUAUAAAAUUUUAUAGUAAUCAUUUAAAAAAACACUUCUAUAAAAAGAGGAAAAAUAAAACUUAAUGAGAUAAAAUCUCGUAAAAUCUCAUUUGAUUUAUUUAUACUAUUUAAAAGAAAGAAAAUUAAUUUACUUCACACAAAAUAACCUAAUAUUUUAAUUUGAUUUUAUUUCUAUUGAAUUUUAAUACCAGACAAAAUUUCUUGUACUAAUGAUAUAGAAAAGCUCCUUAAUUUGGUUUUGUUAGUUUUCUAGAUGGGGUAGUUGCAAAUUUAGCAAUUAAAUUCAAACUAAUUAAGUAUAUAACACAAUUUUAAAAAAUUUACAAAUAUAGUAAAAUUUGUCAAAUUCUAUCCAUGAUAUAAGUCUAAUAGACCAUGUUGCAAAUAUUAGUCUAUCACUGAUAUAUCAUAUGAAGUCUAUCAGCGAUACAAGUCUAUCAGUGAUAGUUUUGCUAUAUUUGUAAUUUUUUAAAAAUGUUGUUAUAUUCUUAAUUAUUAUUGCUAAAAUAGUCAUCUAUUGCAAUUUUUCUUUCUAAAUUUAAUUUGCAAUUCAACCAUAAUUUCCAUCCAACCUUAAAUUAUUUAACAAUUUUGUUUUUCUUUCUACCCACGUAAGGAAUAUCUGAUGACUUCAAUUGUUAUUAUUAUUAUUUUUGGAGUAAAUAUAAGCUUCAACUUCUCUCCAUUAUUAUUAUUACUAUUUUAAUAACAUAUUUUGUUAAUAUAUGUAUUUUUAAAAAACAAUCGGAGAUUUAAAAAAAUAUGGAUAAUUUUGGUUAAGAAAUAAUCAAAUUAAAUUAGGAAAUGUGAUAACUAAAAAAAUUGAAUAUUGGAUGUUGAGAUACUUAUUAAAUAAAGUUGAUAUUAAUUUUGAUAUGAAAAAAUAUUUUUAGAAUUGAAAUAUUUAAUAAAUAGGGAUAGUGGCAAAUUUAGCAAUUAGAUUCAAAAUAAUUAAGUAUAUAGUAACAUUUUAAAAUUUUUACAAACAGAGCAAAAUUUGUCAAAUUCUAUCAAUGAUAAAAGUCUAUCAUCGAUAGACCAUGUUGUAAAUAUUGAUCUACACGUCUAUCAGUGAUACAAGUCUAGCAUCGAUAAUUUUGCUAUAUUUGCAAUUUUUUUAACUGCUGCUAUAUCCUUAAUUAUUAUUCCUCAAAUGAUCAUUCAUUACAAUUACCCUAUAUAUAUUUUAAAAAAAGAAGACAUAAAUAUAUAAAUAAUAGAAAAAGAAAGAAGGAACCAAAACUAUCAAUAGUUUCUCAUAAGCCAAAUUUUUAGGUUAGUUUCUAAAAUCACAUUAUUUAGAAAAACAGUUUGAGAAAUAGAAAACACAUUAUUGCCAUUUUAGACGUGGUAGGGUUUAGUUAAAUGUCGCUUCAAAUUUUGGUUGGAUAUACAUGAUCCAUUCAUUUAUCUUCCUUCGUUGAAUGGCUGGGAUUUUUUUGUUCUAUAUUUCUUUUAUUUCCAAAUUUUAAUUCUAUUUAAUUGACUCAACUAUAUUCGUUUUCAGCCUCAUAUAAUUUUCUAUCAAGUACUUUUUCAUUUAUUCAUAUUGUUUAUAUGAGUUUGAACAAAGACAAUACCUACAAGCAAAGGUCAAUAUAUUUUUGUGCCACAUUAGAGAAUUUAGCUAUUUGAAAAGGGUAAUAUGUCAUAUGUGUGCUAUUAAUGGUUCCAUCAAGAGGGUUGGGCUUGGGUAACUGUGUAAACUUUUACGAUGUAGUCUAUAAAUUGAAAUAUUUAAUGGGAUGUAAGAGCAAACAUGUAGUUUUAUUUAAGUUAAUGGCGAAGGUGGUAUAAGAAUGGUUGGAACUUAUUCUAAAAGCUUAAAAGAAAGCAGAUGAUAAAGAUUCUUAUUUAUUCAUGAUGGAUUUAUAUUUCUGAAAGGAUAAUUUGUGAGGGAAGUAGGAAUCAAAUAAUGAAUUAACGUUGUUUCGCUUUAAUGGGUUCACUGUGGUGAAGUAUAACAUUCUGUACUCCUCUCUAUUCUUCGUAACAUUUAAUGGAUUGUCAAAGUUUGAUCAACAAAUCUCCCUAGACAUUUUGUUGUAGAAGUAUAGGUUCGUGGCUAAAUAUUGUUGGUCAUUAUUCUCUUUCACCUUUUUUAGAGGUUGAUUAGGGGUUGAAAUUUUGGGAGAGGAAAAAUAGAGCUUUCAAUUGUGUGAAGAGGGACUUAUUGAAGUUUGGUCCUUUGUAAGGUUUUAGUUUCAUGUUUCUGUUUGAGCAUCAGUCUCAAAGACCUUUUAUAAUUAUUCCCUAACAAUAUCUUAUUUAGUCUAAUUCUCAGUAACAAAAAUUACUCAGCAAAAAUAAUAGAGAUCCAAACUUUUUUCAUUCAAAAUGAGAAUUCAUUAUCCACUCAUAAAAAGUAAUAGGAUGUAUGUCUCUUAUGAUAUUUUUUUUAAGAGAUCCUCUCAACUUCGUUUUUUUUUUAACUUUUAAUAAUCAAACCUAUUUAUGUUUUAGGUCUUUAACGAUGAACAAAUGUUGAAUUAAAUUUAGAAAUAAAGUGUUGGUUGAGUAUAGGGAGGGAGUGUCGCACUUUAUAAUUUCACGUCGAGGAUUAUGGACGAACAAGGUGUCCAUGUAAGAAAUGAAUGAAUUCAAUUUGGAAGUCAUUAGACGGUGUGGGGCGACAUCUAUUAACAAUUGGAAUAUCCCUAAGCUCUUAUAUAGACUUGGUGUAUCAUGGAGAGGCAGUGAACUUGUGUAGUGGUAUAGAAAGAGUUGAUCAAGGAACUAGCAAUCACUACAUAAUUCAAGAAAAUGAAAUGUUGGAUAUGCUUAAUGGAAAGUUUGGAGAAUGAAAUGCCCUUUAAUGGUGUAGAACAAAAGACAACAAACUUAUUUCAAUAUUUAAUGAAUAAAGCAUAUAAUGAGUUAUACCUUGGUUGUUCAUAAUUUUCCUUAUUGAACUUUUUAGUCAACUUGAUAUCAAGGUUCUGAUCAAUAGUUGGAGUAACAACUCUGCAUUCUAAAGAUUGGUUCUGGCUAUCCUGGAGCUAUAGUAGCCUUUGAUUAAAUUUAGCUUUGAAUUAUAAUGAUUUGUUGCUUCAUUCAGGUGUGACGUCGCUUCUUGUACGCAUCUGGAAUUCGUCCCUUGAUAUUCUCAACACAGUUUUCCCGACUUGACUUUCAAUGAUUUUACAUACGUCGAAAGAUUUUUUUUUAUGUAUUUGGAUAUAUAUUCUGACACAUUAAUGUGCCAAGAGACCCACUAAUUCUUGUAGUGUCAUACAAACCAUUCACACUUUCAACUUUAUUUAGGCAUAUUGGAAUUGAAGUUCAUGGUUCCUUUUCCAUCAUCUUUAUUCUCAAAAGCGUGUGAGAGAAAUGGGGCCUUAGAUUUGUUAUGUUUAGCUAGUUUUAGUAAUUCUUUUACCAUAACGUUUCUUCAUGUUUCACUGUUUUUGUUUUUGAAAAAUUAAAAUCAGGAAGGUAAGUUUGAAUGAUAAGUAAUUUUGUCUCUGUUCUUCCACAAACGAAAAAGAAAAGAACAAGUUGGAUGAAUCUAUCUUAUAUUUCUUGUCCCGAAUUUUUUUCUCGGUUCCACAUUCGUAUAGUUUAAUAGUAUUAUCAAAAGCUUACGUUAUAGUGUACAAACAAGUCACGAUAAUCUAGAACUAACAACAAUAUUAUUUAUAUCAUUCAAAUGCUACCCAAAUAUGAUACGUAAUAAUAUCAUUUCACUCUAACCAUUAUGACUUAAAUGACAACCAAUCAUACUACUUGGUAAGUAGUAUAGUGUUGUUUUAAGAUAUUAAGAAAGGGGUAUUUCAAUUUUAGUACAACCGUUCUAGAUUUAGAGAUUCAGAACUCUAACCUCUCUAACUAAUUUAACAAUAUUCAAGGUUAAUUUACAUAUAUACAAUAAAAGACAUAAAUAUUGGCUCGUAUAACAAAAAAAAAAAUCAUGAACCAACCAUUGUAUUUUCAUAAAUUUCAUAUUUGGUUUUAGUGGUUUUGCAUUUUGUGUUGAAUGUCUACGCCUCUUCUUCAUAUUAUUACUUUUCUCUCAUAUAUAUUUAUCAUGUCUUAUUGUUCACGAUUUCAUUUAGAUUCGAUACAAGAUCGUUUAGAUUCGAUACAAGAUCAUUUAGAUUUGGUACAAAAUUGUUUAGAUUUGGUAACACUUUGUUUAGAUUUGGCAAGAUCAGUACCAAGAUCUUGUACCAAUACGAAGAUCGUUUCAUGACGAUCUGAAUGAUCGUGUACUUAAUGAUCAUGUACCAUGUUUUUUUUCAUCUGUUUGUUAAUUUACGUUGUGAGCUUCCGAGGUUUUACUAUUUUAUUAAAAAUUUCCACAUGAUGUAUAUAUUUUUGUGCUUCGUUCUAUUAUUUAAAAACCUCUAUAUCCAAAUUUAAAAUAUUAAAAUAAAGUCAAAUGAAAUUUUUUUAACAAGAUAUACAUAUGAAAGGUAGUGAGAUCAGUAGCACAACUUAAACAUCUCAACUAGAUUGUCGUACUCUUAGUUGUCAGCCGUGGAAGUAUAUCAAAUCUUUCCAAAGAUACAUGGAAGGCUUGUGGCUAGAAAACAUAUCAAACGAUCAAGAGUUUGAGCCGUUAACCUAAGAGGACGAAUAAAUGAUGCUGUUCCAUAUUAGUCCAAUAAGGACACUCCUACAAAAAGUAUUCCACAUUUUCCUCAUGAUUCUUAGCUUUUUUUUUUUUCUUUUCUUUUUGGUUAAGACGCACAAUUAAAUUAAGGAAUCUAGCUUACCAUUUUUUCAUUAUGUCGAUCAAAAUUUUGUACUAAAAAUUUAGCUAUAUAUAUUAUAAUUAAAUUUUUAAAAAUUUAAAUUUAAAUUUAAAAUAAAAUAUAAAGUUAUAUCUCAAAAGUUUUAAAUAAUAUAUAAAAAACAUAUGAAAACUUUCAAUUUCAAAACUAAACACUUCUAAAUAUAACAAAAUAAAUCAAAAUAUUAAUAAACGUAACCAAAAUUUUCUUGUUAUAUCACAAAUAUAAUAUAUAGAGCAUGAUGGACUACGAUAGAUUACAAUUUAUAUGUUGAUAGACUCAUAUACCUAGAUAGUAGUUUAUUGCGACAUUUUACUAUAUUUGUAUUUUCAAUAGUUCUCUCAUUUAAAACAAUAUCUUUCAUUAAAUGUAGAGAAAAUUGUUUAAAUUAGGAGUGUAAAAAUAACUCGAGAAACCUGAUAACCCGACUACCUAACCCAUAUUAUAUGGGUUUGGUUGACUUAGUUUAAGAUGUGGGUCGUUGGAUUGCGUUCAAAAUUUUGAAACUUUUCGGGUUGAGUCAUGGGGCUUGGAGAGGAGAUGUGACAGUUUGGGUCUAAAUGAAACUCCCUAUUUUGAUUUGUUUUAUCGUGACAAUUUCAUCGCUAGAUUUCAAUAUUAAAUUUCAACCAAUUUGAAGUAGAAACACUAUCCAAAUUGUUCUAAGACACUAAUGGAUAUUUCAAACUCUCACACUUCAUAAUUUAGAGCCAAACAAAUAAUUGAUCCUAAAAUAACAAAUAGAAAAACGUAUGAAAAAGAAAAUGACACCAAAAAAAUAUACUCGUUUACUCCCAAAAUUGGUCUACGUUUAGUCUUCUGUAAUUGCUGAUUCUUCUGUAAUGGAGAUCGAAAAGAAUCUCUUAAAACAUACUUAUAAAUCUCUCCUUAAAAAAUAACCCAAACAAAAACUAUUUCGAUAACUUAAAAAAUAACCCAAAGAAUAUCUUCAGCAUUUUAGUUUGCCGGAGCAUCAACAUCUCGAACUCUACAAACAUAUCCAGUCUCGCUAGAGAAAUGUCCAUGGAGCAUCAACAUUUUUUCUUCUUCAGGAGCAGAAAUAAAGCUUCACAAUUUCACUUUUUCAUUUUCUAAAGAUGAGUUCCACCGCCACACAAUUUCUUCCAUUAUUACAAACCUCAAGUUUUACCAAUUAAAUUCCAUCCUUUGGAAAGAAUUCAUCCUAAGGAGUGGAAGCCUAAAUCACCAAAAAAAGCCGAUUAUCUUUAAAAAAAAAAUCCAGCAUCAUGCUUUCAGCUUAUUUUCAUAUAAACCCACCUUCGUCAUACUGUGUAAUUAAAAGCUUGCUUAAGGAUUAAGCAAAAAGAAAAAAAAAUGGAUCUGGCGUUUUGUACUCCACAAUUCCUGACAUCCAACUAUUCCAUAAAAAGAAAAAUAACAUCUAGAUGUAAAGAAAAGAGCAGCCAGAUCUGCUAAUCUUAAGAAUGAGAAAACAGUUUCGAAUUUUGAUAAUUAAAUAUGUAGCAGCUUUUUUAAAUAAUUAAAAAUAUAACAAAAGUUAGAAUUUGGUGACAGACACCAAUUACAAAUGCAAUGGAUCAAUAAGUAGAGACUGAAUAAGAAGUUUAGUCCUACCCUUAGAAUUUGUAUAUCCAUCUUCGUGAGAAUAAAGGAGAGCCAUAACUCUUGUGAGAUUUAAUAGACAAAUUAAAAAUGGCAUUGGAACAUUCAUUGGAUGAAGGCAACAUUCAUUUAUAGUCUUCCAUGCAUCUUCUACUUGCUUAAGUAACUCAGCACAUGUUUCAUCUUCUGAGCGUCCAUGAUUGCUCAUGUAACAUUCAACUGCAGAAACAAUGUGUUCUCUUUCUUUCUCAAACUAAAAAUAAAAAAGAAAAGAAGUUAAUAAUAUAGCAGUUUUAAAUUUUUUGACUUAUUUGACGCAGAGAGAGUGACACAUACCUUGUAGGAGACAACAUCAUCCAUGAGUCUAGAAAUGGUGGUUGAGGCUUUAAGAAUUUUGGGACAGUCAAAAAGCCAUUCAAAUACUUCCUUUGUUGCAAUGUCACCCAUGCAAACAAAUGAAAUAGUUGAAAGUAAUUCAUAACCUGAACUAGCUAAAGCCACUUCCAUGUAUUCUCCAUAUUUUGGUUUAUAAUUUUUGUUUAGCCAUUCAGCUUCUUUGAAAUAGGAUUCAGCUUGUCUUUUCAUCUAUUCACAUAAAAAAAGUUAAUAAACUUGUUAUACAUAUAAGAAACAUAGCAUUAUUAUUAGUGAUAUCAAUAGAAAAAACUAUUAGAAGAAAGACCUUACAGCUUCUUUUGCAAAGCAAGAGCGAUAGGAUAUUCCAUCAUUGACUAUCCCCUUAUCCAUCUCUUCAAAAAGAUCAAGCAGAGUUGUAUAAUGAACUUUCAUGUACUGCGGAAGUAGAUUGACCAUGCUCAUGUCCCAUCUAAAAAAUUAUAGAUCUUAAUUAUAUAGAACCUUCUCAUACAGAUAUAUUUUAACAAUGAUCCGAGGCUAAGAAAGUAACCUUUUGAUUGCUAAGGUGAAAAGUUGGAGUUCUUCGAAUGUUCCAUAAGCAUCAUAUAUAUCAUCCAUAAUUGAGGUCAUAGCAAUCACUUUAGUCAAUAUUUUCCUUCCAAACUUGAAAUAAGGUUCAAAAUAUAUACUCAAUAUCCAAAAGUAACACUCCACAAUUCGAUCCCUCGCAAACGGAAAGUUUGUUGAAACGUUCAAAUCCUUCCACCACCUACAGUAAUUAUUUCCAUCAAGACAGAGGUGAAUUGUAAGAUUUCAAAAAACUAUUGUAGGAUCAAAAUAUGUUGCGAAUGAAGAAAAACGCUAAAAGCUCCGUUUGUUAAUUAUCAUUUCAUUUUUUUUUUUUUUUUUUGAAAAUUAAACGUAUAGGUGCUUAAAAUAUGGAUGUUUGGCUUAUAAAUAGGAUUUUCUUGUAAACACCGUAACACACAAAAGUGUGUGCUAUUUCAAAUUAAUUAAUAAAAGAUAUUAUUAAUCAUUUAAGAAUUUACCAUUUUAAGAAAUAAUUCUAAUAUAAUCUGUGAGAAUAUUGGUUCCACGUAAACUUCUCAAGGAGAAUAAACCAUUGUGAGAGUGAAAAUAGAAUUAUGAAUACAGAUAUCUUUGAAACUAAAUUCCCUCAUGGAUAAACAUGAAUAAAUAACGAUGAAUAAUGAUCAAAGUUAGUUUUGUACCUGCAGAUUUCAGCUAUCUCCUUCUGGUGAAGUUUUUGUAAGAUGUUGAAGUCCAGUUUUGAGAAUGUAAGCAAAGUCUCAUUGUGAGAAGGUUGUUGCUGGUAAAUUUCAAAAUACUCUCUUGCCUUGACUCUUGGAACACAUUUUCUAAUAGGCAAUUUCAAUGCAUUACUAACUUCAGAUGCAAAAUUUGGAUUAAUAUUUGAGUAAAGAUGAAUAUAUGCUUUAAGAUGUGUGGUUGUAAAUUCAAGAGCUUCCUCAAGCAAUGCUUCUCCAUGCCCCCUCAUAUGCGAUGCUUCAUAUAGGCUCAAUAUUCCUCUUUCAUCCUCAACCAAUGACUCUUUAAAUUUUCCAUUGUUGUCCAUGAACUUCAAAAAUAUAUCUGUUUUUAAUUAAAAUUAAGAGAGAAAAAAGAACGCAUGAUCAGUUCUUAAGUUGAAUUCAAUUUAGAAAAUGCUUAAUUUUGGAAGUUUCUAACUCUUUGCAGUUUCACCUUGAAUAAUGUUUAAAACUAAAAAUAAGAAAACAAUUAUAUUUGUGUAUUUAACUUACCACAUGAAAUCCUAUAACCAUGUUGCCUGAGAAGCCGAAAUAGAAGAGCAGAAAUAUGAAGAUCAUCAUCUUGACUAUCGUUGCUACUGAAUAAAAGGGAAUUAUUAUAAGACACAUACAUAUGUUCUAAGAAUUGAUCAAUCUCAUCUUCAAAAUGAUAAGAUACUCCCAGCCGUUGGAUUGAAUCAACCAAAUUUAGCUUUACCAAUGGAUUUUGCACAGAAGCAAUCACCAUCAUCCUUAUUUCUUCUUUCAACUUUUCAAUUCUUUCUUUCAUGCCACCAUCUACUUUCUGAAAUUCAAAAAAAUAAAAAAGAAUCAAAUUUAUUAAAAAUAUAAAAGUAUUAAAUUAAAUUUAAGCACAAACAAUAAAUGGCUCGUAAUUAAAUUAAAAUAUGGCAAUAAAAUAACUUUUACCAAUGCAUCAUCAAAUGUGAAUGAAAGAAAAUGUUCCUUCCAAAUAGUAGGAUGAAAAUUUGCAAGAGAACGCUUAGUAUCAUAAAUAUCAUUGGUUUUCAUAAUGGAAGCAGGAAAAUGAGAAGACAUGACUUUUCAAAGUAGAAAAGAAAGAUAGAAAAGGUAGUUGGGAUAAUCCUCUUGCUAAAUAGAAAGAUGUGUAUGUUAUUGGCUUGAGAGUUUGAACUAUGGGUGAGACACUUCUUGAUUUUAAAGCAGACUUAUUUAUAGGCUAUUUUUCAUAGAUAUUUUGCUUGGUUCAAAUUCUUAUCACUUAAAUUCAAAUUAAAGAAUUGCAUAAGCUACAACACGUUUUUGUUGAUGAGUUUUAUAUUAUUUUGUUUUUAUCUACAAAGAUAUUUUGACAUGUAAUUAAAGAAAUUAAUAUUGGCUUAUUGGAUGUACCAAAUAAUUGCGAUGUGGAUGGAGCCGAUGAUAUCAAUAGUAUCUUAUUGUAUAUCAAUAUUUUUUAGAGAAAAAUACAUUUUUAAUUAGUCCUAGAGUUUUAGACAAUAGGUGCAUUUAGUAUCUGAAGUUUCAAAUUGGCCAUUUUUAUCUUGAGUUUUAAAGAAUAGUUUUAAAAGGUUCAUCUCUUGUCUCUCUCCGUCUUUCUUCCAUUUCCAUUACCAUAUUUUUUUAUAAAAAAUAAACCAAUCACAAUGGAAAGUUCUAGUUGUGACCUCUCCUCCAUCUUCAAUAAUGAAAUUUUGACAUGGUUAAACAAUUGUCUUUAAUUGAGUCUCUCUCACUAUAGUUCUCCCAUGCAUAGACUAUCAGUCAGUUUCAAAGAGAGAACACAUCUGAGGUUUCAUCUUUAAAUGCUUCAAAUCAAGGGAAGAUUGUAAUUUCAUUAGAGAAUUUGAUCAAAUUUGAGAGAUGGGUUUUGGUUGAAUAUGAAGAAAAAUGGGAAUACAAUUAGUUUGUAAAUGAAACUCUACAUCAUUCCAAACCUUACUCCCUCGAUAAAAUGUGAUGAUGAAAAGGUUAAUUCCCACCUCAAACAAAAGAGACACUGAAACUAAAACUAGUGGAUAAUGAAAAAAAAAAAGGAAAUAUGGUGCAUCCAACUGUUGAAGAUUACGUUGGCAAUAUAUAAUUUCUAAGGCAAUACGUGGUUUGGCCAAUGGUCUUGCAUAUAGUCUUAACAUUCCAGUUUUAACCUUAGAAAUUUGUUCUACCAAUUCUAUCCUUAAUUAUGGAAUCUUUUAGAGUUGUCGGUUUUCUUUAUUAAAUAAAUCGAUAUUGAUAAUUGUGCAAUCAUAGUACUUUUCGUUUUUCAUACAAUUAGCUGCAAAGCUUCGUUGAGCAAAAGUUAUUAUUCGUACGACAAAUGAGUUCAUAGUAUUUUGCUCAUGUUCAUUGUGCUCCGCUGAAAGUUCAACUUUUGUUUGCAAGAGCAUAUUGGUACAGGGGAACCCUAAACCUAUGUCAUCAAGGAGGCCUUAGGGGAGCUUAAGACUUACAAUAAUUCUACAAAAAAAAGAAAGUUAUUAUUAUUAAUUUAAACAAUAUUAACUUUAGCUUGUUACCUAAAAUAUUUAGAAUUUCAAUGUAAGUACAAUUUUGUUUAAAUUUUUUUUUCACGAUUCUAACUUUUUAUUAACUUUACCAUAAAUAAAUAUUACAACAAUUAUUGUUAAUUUGAUUUAAUUAACUUUAACUUUUUACCUGAAAUAUUUACAAUUCAAAUAUAAGUACCAAAACAUCAUUGUUUUAAAUAAAAAAUAAACGACCGGGAAUUGAUCCCUCACCCCGAUUUCAGCUUCCAAAAAUGAAAACUAACUUGUUGCAUAAACAACGCCGAUGCGACGCUGCAUUUGAGUGUUUUGGCACUCUGAAGGCUGAGCAUGAACGUGCUUUUGUCAAUAUAGUGACGCUAUACAAUACUUAUGAAUAUGAUCCAAGCCGCAUAGGAUUCAAAAACUCCCAUUUCAGCCGUUCCAACCUCAAUUUCUAUUUAUUUUCUCAUAUGUUUUAGUUUGUUUAUGAUUUCAAACUUUUACUCAUUGAUGGACAUGUCGAUAAUGGGAUAAGGUAUCAUCUUCUAGCUUUGGUUUCAAGGAAUUUUUCUUUAUUUUAAUUGUCAUGGUCCACUCCAAAACACUAUGUUCAAUAAAGUGGAGACGUGACUGUCUAGACAUUUUAUGCGAGAUUACCCACGAAGCAACACGUAGAACGCCUAGUAAUCGAGAAUAAAGAAAACCAUAAAAUUUUAGUGCGGAAUGUAGACUUAGAUAAAAUAUGGAAAGUUCAUUGAUAUUAUAAGUAGUAAAGGUACAUUUAGUACUCUAAAUAACAAUCUUUACAAAACCAUUAAACAUAACUUAAAACAACACUUGGACUCUUCUCGCCUAGUUGCUAUAUAUGUUAUGCGAGUUGAUAGUGGCCAUUACCAAAAUGAUGUGUUCUCAAAAUUCACAGUAGGUGAUCAUAGUUGCAAGUUCAACGUUGGAUAUUCUUCGCUACCUAAGGAAAACUAAAACAAAACGUUUGAAAGGUUAGAACAAAACGUGGAUCUUUUAUCAACACCUUCAAUAAACCAAGUUUAUCUUAACACAUUACAGAUAUUUUACCAAAUCCAGCGAUAUAAAAUAAUAUGUAACCAAUCAUUAUAUGUAUAAGUUUGAAACAAUUAUUCAAGGCAUUAGGCGUCUUUCACCAUUUCAGUUUUAUCAACAAUUCGUAAAUAAUAGAAACAAUCACUUCCUUUCAUUAUUCAUCAAAUUGCAUAGUAUGUGUUUCGCAUAGCAUAGUCUUUUACGCUUAAUUAUUAUGCUAGUUCAAUUACAUUUUCGAAGCAUUUCCUCAGCUCAAUCGUUCCUCACAUUCUUUUGCCAAGUUGCAACUAUAUGGAGUAAUCUCAACGCAUUUAGCAAGUUUCAUCAAAUCUAUUAUACAAUACACCUCUUUCCAUGCUAGAUCACUCAGCAAACAAAAGACAUCCAGAUCACACAGCUAGUAUGAAGCAUCCUCUUAAGAUCACACAACAUGAAUAAAACAUUUUAUUUCAGUACACACAGCAAAGAUAGAACAUCUUAUCCCAGAUCACACAGUAAGAAUAAGACAUCUCAUCGCAUAUGGUACAAAAGAUCAUUUGAAUUCAUCAUUUUAAGUUAUAACAAGUCUUAUAAAUUUUUUAAAUACUCAUUAAUCUGUUUCAUGACAAGUCUAAUUCAUUUGUAAAAUCAUGUGUAAUUUAAGAAUUGAAAAUCAUGGGAGAAGUCAUAUUGUUCAUAACCUUGAUAGAAAUAUAGUAAUGAUUUCAUUACAUUGAGAAAUCGUUUUAGUUUUAUAAUACAUUCGUGUAAGAACCACUCACAUUCACAAUAGCUAGUUGCUUCCCACGAGCUCCCUUGCAUUUUUCAAUCGAGUUCAGACUUGAUUAGAAUAAGACCUUGGAAAUUCUUUCUAAUUUCUUUUAAGUAAGUUCAAAGUAGAAGCAGCUUCAGAAGGAUCAAAAUUCACCUAUUUAUUGACUUUUUUGAUGAAGUUUUCUAUGUCAGAAUGAUUACAUCUACUAGUGGUGAGAAUUGGUUUAGUGUUAAGAUGUCACAUGUCUCUGUCAAAUCUUUAUAUUGGAUUUAGAUUGAACAACAAGAUCAAAUCAGAGACCGAAUUUUCUACACGAGGAUGAUAGCAUUACUUCCCAAUGAAGUAAGCUUAUAUCACAACAAGGAUCCCCAUGUAGUCUUUUCUCGUUGCAUCACAUAGGUUAUCUCCGCCGCAUUGAGUCUUAGUGUGUAAAGGCAGAUUGUGAUCAGGGUCUCAUGUUAAUUAUCUUUAUGAGAAUUUUAAAAAAGUAAAAUAUUUUAUUUUACUUUUAAGUUGUUACUUUAGUUAAACUCUAUAGUUGUUACUUUGGUCAGACAAGUCUGUGGCAAGAGAUUGAGAACUUUCAUCGUGUUACUGAGGGGUAGUAGCAGCUAGGAUUUGGCGAGAAGGGCUUGGUGUUUUAGAUUUUUGGGGAGUUGGAGUUUAGAUUUGUAAGGAGGACGAUUGUGUUCUUAAGUGGGUGGUGGUCGUCGUUUUUUAGGGCAAAGCGAGAUUGUGGUUUUGGUGGUUUGGACAACAAGUUAAUGACUGCAAAAGGAAGAGGGUCCUUAGACUCCUUGGCUCUAAGUUUCUUUUCUCUCUUCUUGGAUCCAAAUGUCUCAUCCUCACCUUUCCUCUAUGAUAACUUGUCGAAAUAAAAGUUAUUAUAGCAUUUUAUGUAAAUAAUGAAGUCUUACUGCAUAAGAUUUGAACCAAACGCAAGGAAAAGUAGAAGACUCGAUUAAUUUGUGUAUCACAUACUGCAAAAAAAAUUAAUCCCUAUUUUAUCGCAUUCAACUUAUCUUAUUGCAGGAUUUUAGGCCAAAAGAAGUAUAGUCCAAUGAUAGAACGUCAUGCGAGGAGAUACCCGCAACUAGCAAGGUGAUGAUCACAAUAAGCUAGGCGAUCUGAAGCACUAGCUGACAAAAUUUGUUGGUGCGAAUUUCAGAAAAAGGACAAAAGGAUGUCUGCACAGCGUCGAUGCUACUUUAUCAAAAUAAUUAAUUAGACAUGGAAUAUCCUGUCACAUCACUCCACGUCUAUAAAUAAAGACGUUUACUUUAGAAUCAAGUGUGUAAAAUUGGAUCUCGGAAAGCAAGCAAAUUUUUCCUUUCAUCCUUUCUGUCUUAAAACUUUAGGUGAGAGCCUAGAAUAAGAGAGAGAGAGAUUUUUCCUACCAUUUUCCCUCCUCACAAUAGACAAAAUUCAAAACCAAAAAAUAUGAGAAAUCAUAUUUUAAGGCUCGAUUCAUUUGUUUGUAUUCCAUUUUGUAUUUCUUUUGUAUUAAGUUGUAAUAUUAACUCUAUAGCCAAGAAUCCUAAAGUUUUAUUUAUGAUAUUAAUAUAUUUCUUCUACCAUUCUCUAAUUUCUCUUAUGCUAUUCACUUUGAAUGCAUUCAAUUAGUUUAUGAACAAUGUAAUUUGUGAUUAAUACUAUAGAAUCUUAUUGUAUAUUUGGUAAGUUCUAUUUAGCUAAACGCGGACAUAAAAGCUUUGUUUUAUUCGAGAGAAAAGACAAUCGCACUGACAGUAAUCACCUGACAAGUGAAAAUCCAUAUUUAACUAAACGAACGAUAAAGAGAUCGUAGCAAUGCAAUCUCAUCACCAAAUUAAUCCUUUGCCUAAUUUGCCAAAAUGUUCACAUGUGUGGCAAAAGCACCGAAAGGAUACUCGCCUUAAUUUAGGAUAAAUUUCUUGUAAUGCAUACACACUAAUUAGAUACAAAUCAUAACUUAACUUUACGUAUUUGGACCCCGAGAGGUGAGCAAGUAUGACGAAAGCAUUGAGACAACGCUCGCCUUAAUUUUGAAGUUAAUAAAUGCUUUGUAUUACCUCGAAUUAUUAAUGCACAAUACACUGCGAUUGGAUAGUUAAAUAUUCUUUCAUUCCAUUCUUGUUACAUGAGUUCCCAAUCCAUUACACUUCAUUGCCAUGUUCGAUCCUCUUGCACCGCCAAUUACACCUUAGUGUAUAUAGUUAGGACAAACAUAUUGUGCAUACUUACACUGUAUAGAGUAUAUCACAUAGGAUUAAUUGCACAAUAGAUUCAAUUAGAACACUAAUUCCUUGAGUUUGAUCCUAGGCUUACCAGGAAACCUCUCUUCGCUUACACUUGGACGAUUGAGAGAAAAACUUAUACUGUAUGCAUAUCAUUUUGAAGUUACCAACGCAUAGGUAGGACAUACAUCUUUUAUUGCAUCAUUCUAUCCUAGUUAUCUAUUAAGUCAUUCACUUAGUGUCUAACAUGACUUAUCUAUGUAUGAAUGUUUCUAUGACAAUUACUUAAUGAGGACUCUGUAGUCAUGCGAUGAAGACGUACAUACUGAUUAAUUCACAUACAAUGAUGGUUACCAAUGACUUAUCGAAUAAAGACACUAACAGAUAACCUACCUUGCAUACUCAAAAUCCUGACAGAAAUACCAACCAAUGUGGUCAACCAAAAAAUAGUUUAUUGUUUUCUAAAGAUAAAAUAAUGAAUGUCAAAUCGAUAUCAAAAUAAAUUGUAGGCUACGUGUUUGUUUCAUUGAUAACUAUUAUGACCACCAUCUUUAGAUAUGUGUUCUUGCAUUUUCCUUAGAUUUAAUUUCAAUUAGUUCUCAUUCAACAAAGCUUCUCAUUGGAUAUUGUGCUACGAGUGAAUUUUUAAGAAAAAUCAAUUAGUUCUCUACAGAUCGACCUAUUACUACUCUAAUACUAUGAAAUUGGUAUAAGAACGAAACUAUUAUUUGGUUUGAUCAAAAGUCCUGACAACUUUUGGUCAAAUCACAUACAUAUAUAUACAUAUAUCAGUCGAAGCACCAUAGUGCUAGUAUUUCAAAUAUUGAGGCACACAAUCUUUUUCGGGUAACAGUUUUUUUUAUUUUUUAUGGUUGAUGAUCUCGAACUCCGUUUUAGCCUGGUUUUCAGUCCAGUGAUUCAUUCUAGCCUUUAAGAUUCUAAUACCUAUAAAAUCAUAAAAUAAACAUAUAAGAAGCAUAGAACAAACAAAAGUUAAGUGAAAUAAUGAUAGGUUAUUUUAGUAACUACGAAUCAUAUGGAUAUUUUUGUUCUUCUUUUGCCCUUUUUAAAGUACCAUUUUGAAGUGGGGAUCAUUGUUAAAUGAUACAUGAUACAUAACCCGCAUGUGAUACUAGAAUUCAAACUUUUAAAUUUGUAAAAUUGCAUAUAUUACUUGGGUUUUAUAAGUGGUACCAUUAGUUAUUUUGACGAGACCUUACACCCAAUAAGCCAACACAAUCGUUUUGUCCUUUUAGAUGAUGAGCACUUGUUUUCUUUUCUUUCUUUUUUUUCUUCCAGUGGGAUCAUUGGUAGCUACAUUGGACAUUGGACCCAAUUUUUUUCUUGAGGAACAUACAUACAAUCACCUUUACUUUUCGUUGUUCAUCCAUAGGUGGUAUAGAUGGCGAAAAUCGAAACUAAAAUUAUUUGACAUGACAUUGAAGUUUAUGAAAAGGAUAUUUUUAAUUGUCACACCUCACCUAAAUUAUGGUACUAAAUCAUAUCAUAUCAUAAUACCCUAAGAAGUGGCUAUAUAUACUUAGAAAAUCAUUUUUGGUCUAUUUUGGCCCCUCAACCAAAUUUAAUUUACAAUAUUGUGUUUUGUUUUAUGAUGCAAGUUUUAAUUGUAUAUAUACUUAAUAAUUUAAAAUUCAUAUAUUCAUGGACUAUUUAAACAAAAUGUAUUAACUAUGUAAUUUUAGAAUCAAUAUAUGAUGUAUUAGCAUCACAAAUAAACUAUUUGUUUUGUGUUUUCAAAUUCUCACCUCCAUAUUAUUUAAGAGAUAAAAGAGUUUUGGUCUUUACUUAUUUUAACAAUUUAAAUUCUAAUUCAUAUUUAUUGAUGAAGAAUAAUAUAAUUUAUUAUUUCAACUAUUUGUUGUACUAGAAAAAUGAAUGUAAUCUCGAAAAGAUCCAUUAUUACAUACAUUUUGUCUUCCUUAUAGUUCUAUUUGAUGCAUUUAUUAAGAAACUUAGUGUUAAACAAAUAAUUUUGUUUGGAAAGAAUAAAAGUAGAAAAAAUAAGAAGAAAAAGAAUAAGCAAAUUAAGAGCCAAAUACAGGGUCAUUUUAGUAAUAAAAUAUGUUUAAGAAAAUAUCUUUAAAAAAAUAUCUUCCCCUUAGAGAGGCUGAAAUGAAAGUGUCAAAUUCAAUACCACGCUAUAGAUCAAACUCAAAUAAACAUUCCACAUGGACUUGUUUGGAACGAGUUUAAAAAAGAAAAAAUAUUUAAAAAAGUGUAUUCUCCUCUCUCUCACCUUUCUUUUAACGAUACAUUAUUUCCAAUAUGAAAUAUACUGGUUGUUAACCGGAGUAAUUUAACUUCGUUUGUGAUUUACCCUACUUUCUUUGAUAUGUAUUUUGAGGUAAAUCUGAUUUCAAAUUAUUAUGUUUUAUUAUUUUACGUUGGUUUUUAUUUAAUUUACUUUGUAUUAGUUUUGUACAUCAGUGUUGUAAUGUUCUUAUAUUAUAUGUGCUACUCGAUUAAUAUAGUUAAUCAAGUAGUUUGGCCCUCCAACUAUUUUACCCUUUCAUUUUCUUUUUCAUUCUCUUAGGGUGUGUUUGGAUUGAUUUUUAAAGUGUUUAAUUUUAAAAUAAUUUAUUUUAAGAUAAAUUGAGGUGUUUGGCACCGGUUUAAAAUAAUUUUUAGAAAAAUUAGAUUAUGAAAUAAAUCAUUAUACAGAAAAAGUAUGCAACCAAAUUUUAGAAUAAAUAUUUAUUUGGUGUUUAAUGAGAAAUCCCUUCCAAAUGUAUUUUUUCUUCCUCUAUUUUUUAUGUUCAUUUUUACUAUCUAUUUUUCACUCUGUCGUUUUUUUUUUUUUUUUUGUUAAUUUUCAAAUAGGUUGAAUAUUCUUUCAAUGUGUGUUCAUAUACAUUUAAAUAUAGGGAUUUGUAAAUGUUUCUUUCUCAGCCAAAUCUACUUCGCCAUAACAUAUGUGAAAGAAAUCAUGAGUAUGUCAAUGAAGAACGUUUUGUUCGUUAAAUAAAGAUGAAUUAAGAACGUGAUCAAAUUGUACAUCUUUUUGUCCAAUUGAUAUUAUAUUGUCUCGAAAAAAAUAUUUAUCUUAUUUAUAUUUUGCUGUUGGGAAUCAAAUAUUUUUUUGUGCUUAUGUAUUUACCUUUCAAGUUAUUUGUCCUUCUAAAAUUGAAUUGUCCAAGAAAAUUAAUAAAGAAAAAUAAAAUUAAUGUUUUAAAUAACUAAAAGAUUAAUAAUUUUAAAACAACGUGUAAUUAAAUUUUAAAUAUAUUUCUUAAAAAAAUUAAAAUAUGUGUAUUUAUUUAUGAAAUUAGUUCAUAAUGUUUAAUAAUCUUUUAUGGUAAUUUGGCUCAAGUAUAAACAUUUGUUAGUAUAGAACAAAUUAAACACAAUUUUAUAUAUAAAUAUUUAUAAAGAUGUCAAACCAUACAUAAGCGUUUAGAUUUUAAACUUAUUUUGCAAAAAAAUUUUUUUUAAAAUGUAUUGUUAAAUAAAUGUUUUUUUUAGGAAAUCUAAACAAACCCUAAGUAAAAUCUAAAAUUUAUUUUCAAAGAAACGGUUGAAAAUAAAUAUAAAAGUCUGUUUUACAGAGAAUGUGAGAGCAUAAAUUUGGAAAUAAGGUAUUAAAAGAAGAUAAAGUUAUAUUUCAUGUUUGUUUAUAUGUGUUUGGUGACGCGUUUAGAAAUUUGAUUCUAAGUUUUAUAGUGUUUAAAUGUUUGUAGGUUUAUAAAUCAUAAAACUAGUCUUAAUUAUUAAUUAUUUAGUAUGUUUUUGUUGACGACAAGUUAUUAUUAAUUUGAGUGUAAUUUAUGUUUAAAAAUAAUUGAUUAAAUUGAAAAAUAUAAUCACUAAAUAAGAUAAGGUUAGAGUUUAGUUUAUAGUUUGACAAAAUCUUAUAUAUAGCUCUUUUUAAUUUGAAAGCCUUCAACAAAUAGUUUCUACAAACAAGAAUAUUGUCUAUGAUUUCUAUCACACCAAAAAACUAAGUUCUAAUUAUAAGUCUAAGAUAAAAACUAAGUUCUAAUUAUAAGUCUAAGAUAAAGAAAUUUUAUCUUUUUAAAACGUGGUACUAAAUUUGUAAUUUAACUUAAAAAUUUAUAAUAUAUUAUAUUAAAAAACAAGAAUUGAAUUUAUAACAUCACAUAAUUGUAUUUUUAAAUGUUUGUAUACGUAUUUUUCAACUUUUUAAAAUGUAAAACAUAAAAUUUAAAUCAAAAUGUUAAGAAGUUUUCAAAUUUUGUUUAAAGAAUCCAAAAAUUGUUUAAUAGAAUCCUGAUUGGUUGUGGAACUACGUCUUAAAAUUUUGCACUUGUUUGUGGCCAUAACUUAGUAUUAUUACUUCCAAUUAUCAGUUAUCAAACUCCAUGAAAUUGGGAGAUUCGAAACUUCUGACGCAAAACGAAUAGAAUUAUGCAUCGCCACAAACUUUGUUAACAAACUCUUUUGAAGGGCACAAUUCAGUUUCAGUCUGUCUUAAACCCAACCACUGUAAAUGUGAGAUUUUAAACUAUUAGUCCAGCAAGUCAUGAAGGGCUAGAGUUUUUGUGGCUAUAACUUGUGCACAUGUAUAUAAGGAUAUGGCAGCAUCAAUCUACAGUGUAGAGUAGUACGUAAAUAUAUAUAUGGUUGCUACUCAUGUGAUGUGCAGUCUGACGCCUUUCCCUCUUUUCUUUGUUUUCUCAUAUGGACCUUUUAGUCGUUCAAUAAUUUCGUGAUGGAAUUAAGAUUUUCAUAUAAAGAUACUAUCUCGACAAUAAUAUUUUGCUAUGUGUUGCAACGUUGUGAUCACAACGUGGAGCAGAUGCUAACCUCCCACGUCCCACCCUAUAGGGUGUGUUUCGAGGUAAAAGGUUUGGAUUUUCCACCAAUCAAUUUAGGGUGUUGUUGGUCACUUGCUUUCAAUUAAAACUAGUCUUAUUUAAUUGCCAAAGAUAGGUUUGGGGUCCUUGAGUGUGGGAAAAGGUGACAAUAUCUUUUCAAAAUGUUCUACUCUAUUGUCUAAUAUUAUAAUAAAAAAAAUUGUUGACCAGCAAGAAAUGAGACUUCCAAAUUUAUAAAUAGAUUCUACAAAUUUUUAAUAUAGGAGUGGAGAUUUGACAUCUUGUCCACAGAUACAUAUAGGUUCAGUUGAGCUAAGUUCAUAUUUUACAAUUUCUACAAAUUUUAAAAACUCUAAAUUACAAACUUUUAAUUCAACUCAUUAAACUUGAACACAGUAACUAAUUUAAUUUUGAUAAAGUGACUUAUUUCAAUCUAAUUAUAAUUAUAACACUUAACAUUUAAAAAAGUAAUAUUAUAUUAUUGAUCUAUAGAUAGUAAUAUUCGUAAAAAAAAAAAGUAAAGCUUUAAGAAUAUUAUUGAUGAAUAUCGUGUUUUUUUAGACUCAAACGAGACUUUGAUUUUCGUGCUUCGUAGGAAAUAAUUUUUUCUUCAUGGGCAAUGCUCAUAAAGAUAUAAUUUUUUUAUGGGACUUUGUCACGAACUUAUCCUAAACCCAAAAUUAUAAUUUUUUGUCUUGAUGGGCAAUGCUCAUCAAGAUAUCAUUUUUCUUGAUGGCUCUUGGCCAUGAUUUUUUUUUUUUUUUUUUGUCCAUCAAGAAAUCCUAAACCCAUCAAGAAAGUCAAAAAAAUAUAUUAAUUUUUUUUCAAUGAUGAUCAUUGCAAACCAAGAAAAUUCAUUCCUUGACAAACCUCGUCCAUCAAGAAAACCUAUCUAACUUGAUCGACAUUACCAGUUAACUAAUAUAUUAUCUUUGAUGUUUAAUGUCCAUCGAGAAAUAGUUUUAUUAUACAUCGAUGACUAUUUUUUUGGGGUUUGUGAACCAUCAACAAAACUAAAAAAACUUUAGCAUCAAGAAAAUAAAAAAUCUAAAGCUAACAGCGACCAUCGGUUCAUAUAAACCUAUUGCAGUCAAAUCUUUCCAAUAAUAGGCAUAAACAUAACAUACAAAAUCAUCCAACAAUGUCCACAAUUACAUACUCAGUUCAAUAUGUAAAUCUACACAAUUUCAGCCAAAUCAUCACAUUAGGCCAUCAAUGCAUUUUAAUUUUGUGCAUGACAAAUAAUCAAUCGAUAUAGUACAAUUCAACCUUAAUUUGAGGAUACGCUAGUAGAAAUAUCUUACCUUAAGAUUAGCUAAAGUUCCCUAAUUGAAAAUAACCUUCUAAAUGAAUCGAUCCUAAACAUAAGGAAAAUAAUUAAAAAUUUUACUUAAUAAAAUUAUUGAUUAUGCGCAAACAGCAAUCCAUGAUAGACAUACUUUUCACAGUAAGCAUAGACAAUUAGCCUAAUCCAAUAGCUACUCUUCACAGUUUAAUAGUAAGCUUAGGCUAUAUAGGUAAUUCACAAUCACAAACAUAUCACAUGUCAUGCAUAUAGUUGAAUCAUCAUUAUCACACGAUAAUUCAACCAUCAAUUGGAGAUCUAGUAGUAGAACUCUUAUCAUAGGUUAGGCUAAGUUCCUUGCUGCAAACAAAACUACAAUUUCACUUAUGCAUUCAUCUGUUUUUGUUGUCUUAUGCAAAACUCAAUUGUAAAUGCAUCAUUCUAGGUUCUCAUUUUGCAACUAAUGAUGGGCAACUAGGUUGGAGUUAUGCAAUAAAAGGUGCACACUCUUCCUAUUCGUUGCUUCAUACACAAUGAUUCAGAUUAGUACAAGUUUUCUUUAUGUUUGCCCAAGUGUAAGUGAAGCGAGAGGUUUUUUGGGUAUGUUAGGAUCGAACGCAUAGAAUUUCUAUCAAAACUUACUUAUAACGGUAUAAGUAUAAAACUAUACUAAUCUACUUAUUUACACAUAAGAUUUUGUAGAGAGAAAUGAAAUGGAAUGAUUAUGGAAUGCAAACUAACUUGCUUUAAGAGAGGUGAAGAAAAGUCUUAGUAUUCUAGGUUAUCUAAGCUAUGUGGCAUGCCCUUAAUGCGAUAUAGAUCACUUGACCAUCUUAUAUUUAAGGUGAGGAACCUUUUGGCACCUAAACACCACACUGUUCUCCUUUCGAGACACAAAUGAUUCGAGUCAAAAUGCCAGGAUGAAGUUUAAUUUGUUUUCAAACUCCCUUCUGUAUGUGUUUAAUCAUGUCCUUGCUACUUACUCUCUUCAGCAGCUGGCGACAAACCCUGACCAAACGAUUGAGUCAAGCUCAGGUAAACACAAUGAGACUUAGCUUAUAACCACAUAAUCCUUAUCAAGGACAAAAACAUAAACUUAAACUACUUAGAAUGUACAUCAACAAGAUGGGAAGUAAAUAAAUGAAAGAGAGACAAUGAAUAAAAAUGCAUUGUAUUGAUAAUGUAGGUCUCUCGGUCAUGAAGAUAAAAAUAUUCAUACAAUUCAUCAUAAAGUUCAAAAAUUAAAAGAAAAGAUGUGUCGAGUCGCAUAAUCCAUUAUCAUGGAUUCCUUGGCUCUUUUACAAGUUAGGGAAAAUGGUGAGGAAACUUCUUUCUCUCUAAUCUCUUUCUAAGCUCUCACUCAGAUGCUAAUCAGAUAAAGGGUGGAGGAAGAAAUACUAUACUACAAAUGGUGAAUGAUUCUAAAACUUGUCCUUCAUUGGCUUUCUUAAGGGAUGACCUCAUUUGUUGAUUUCUUCAUGGUGGAGUUGGGCUUCUUUUAGAGGCAUACUUUUAAGCGGAAAAUUAAAUGCUCAUGUUGCACUUCCAUCCUUGCCUACGCUGCACAAAUGUCCUUGCCUAUAAAUGGCAGCGCAAAAAGUAGCAGUUUCAUGUCACAUCAGCCCUAACUACUACUCUUGUUUUCUAGCAAAUCAUCUCGCCUUGCAACUCGUGAAUUGUCAAGCUUUUUAUCAUGGAGUUCAUGCGUGCGAUCCUCAUUUCAUUUUUUCUUUUUAUCAUCCUGUGUGUAAAAACAUCUGAAAGCAUAGUUAAUCAAGUGAGAUGACUUAUAUAAAGUGCAUUCUCUUGACAUUAUAAUUUUGCACUAAAAGUUAUGCGUUUUGAUCAUUUAUCUUGCAAUUUGACUCCAUUGAUCUACGUAAAAGGCCACAAUAACUUGUAUUUCUACAAGUUAUCAUACAUAAAAAAAAUUAAAUUAAUAGUUUUUGCCAAUAAAUUACUAAUUUAAUUACGUUAGCUUACCAAACAUACCCAAGUGGAGGUUAAAAAAUCCUUUAUCUAAAUCUUGAUGAGAAAAUUCACCAUACAAAUCCUCAAACUUUCCAAAGUCAUGCAACCAAAAUCAAUUCCAAUAAUAAACUUAUUUAGAGUCUCAACUAACCUUUAAGAGGUAUUAAAAUCCCACAAAAAGAACUGAUAACACUCACCUAAUUCACCAAUCUUAACCAAAAUCGGUGAGCGACAGCAAUAGAGAGCAGCGUCGAUAGACAACAAACAAUUAUCUAUGACGAGGUUGGAUGAAGAAGAAAAUGACGUCGAAGAAUAAUGUAGAGGAAAUGAGGGAGAGAGAGUCGGUGACUGGGGUACUUUGAGGAAGAAGAUGAAUAGGUUUUGUCAUGUCAUACACAACAAAUGCACAAGCCCUAAUUUAUAACGAAAUAGUAAUGAAAUUAAUAGUACUUUAAUAUUAUUUAAUUCAUUUUCUUUAAAUAAACAUAUAUAAUAAAUAUAUCUAAAUCCCUCCUCUCUUAAUUAAUUUUAUCAUCUUUUCCCACCAACUAGUUCCAAUUUAUAACUAGGUUAAUUUACACAAAUAUAAAAAAACUUCAAAUAUUUAUGACCUGUCUAACAAAAUCAAAAAGUCCAUGAAGUUGGUAGAAAUUUUUCAUAAAUUUCAUAUUUGCCCUUGAUAUUGUGGAUGAUUUUUCUCACUUAUCUUUCUUCUUCUUUCAUUCUUUCUUCAUCUUCUCUUUAUUUCUUACAUGCCGUCUUCUAGAAUAUCAAGAUUAUUUAAGUAUCACUUUGAUAUGAUUUAAAUGAUUGCUUACUUAAUCAACACGAUUAUUUAGCAUGGUUAACAUAUUUGAAGCAUUUUUUCCAUCAUUAAACAGCACUACACGAUCUGUGUAUCAUUUUCUACACGAUUGUGUAUCAUUUCCUACAAGAUUGUGUAUCAUUUCCUACACGAUCACAUAUCAUGAUUGUUUAGAAGAAGAAUUACACGAAGCAUUUUUCUCAUCAUUAAAAAGAAUUACACGAUCGUGUAUCAUUUUCUAUACUAUCACAUAUCAUGAUCAUUUAGAAAAAGAGAAUUAGAUAUCAUGACUAUUCGCGUGUUGAUUGAAAUAUUUUUUGUAUUUUUCAUUGUGGGUCUGUGGACUUUUUUCAUUUUUCAAAAUUGUUCUAUAAAAUGUAUAUAUUUUGUCAGUUUGUUGUAAUUUUAAAAAAACCCUUUAUAACUAUCAAUUUUUCACUUCUUAAUUAUAUAACCAAAACUUUAUAAUUAAUAACAUUCUUCAUCAAAUUUCAGAAUCUUUAAUUAAAUAUACAUACUCAUAUAAAUAUAUACUUAAUUAACCCAACACAUUGUCCCAAAUAAAUUCUUUAGCUUUCAAUUCCAAUUAAUCUAACACCCACAAUAAUCUAAUAAUCUAAUCAUGAAUUGUUCUAGAUAACUAAGCAACAAAAUUAUCUUAAAUUUUUGGAGUGUUACACAUAUACUAUUCAAAUCUAUAAAGAGAGAAAAUAUUUACCUAGAGAGAUGAGGUAUUUGACAAUCUUAAUUCCAUCAUGGAUUGACAUGAUAGUUGAUAGUUAAAGUGGUGUCUCAUGUGGAUCAACCAAUAUUGUUGUGGUAAAGUAUGAGUUAAUUUUUACGUAGGUGCAAAACCUUCCAAAAGAAAAUUGUAAUUUGUGUUGUAAAGCUAGGUGAAAAUCGAAUUGAAGCUUUGUUUACAAAAUUCAAAUUUGAUUGAAAUUGAAAUUCUUUCAAAAUGUUGGGAUUAAAGCUAAAAUAAAAAUCAUUAAUGAAAAAUCAAAAUUCAUAUUGUUUUUGGAAAUGAAAAUGAUUUAAAUUUCAUUUUAAUCCAAUUGAAUUUAUUGAGUGAAUUCAAAUAAAGACAAAUUUGAAAUAUUUUGGAACUUGAGGGAAAUUUUAAUUCAUUGAAAGUUUUAAACUAAAAAAUCAAUAAUAAUAAUAAUAAUAAUAGGAAAUUCAUGAAAAUUCAAAUUUAAAUAAAUUAUUUUUAAAAUUAUCAAAAAUCAAUCCAAACACAAAUGUGAGAGUUGUUGAAAAACGAAAGUGGAGGGGAAGUUGAGUUUUUUUGUGUGAAUUCAAGAAAAAGAGAGGAGGGGGAAGGAAGAAUUAAGUUGGAAGAAGAAGAGGGGAGGUUUUGGGAAAUGGGUAGAGAGUGAACAAAAAGAAGAAUAUAAUAUAAAAGAUAAAAAUAAUAAUAACAAAUAAUAAAACAAAAAAAGAAGAAGAAUUAAAAUAAUAAUAAAGAACAUUUUUAAAUAUAGUAAAAUAAAUUAAAAUAUUUAUUAGCUAUAACAAAAUUUUGGGUUCUAUUAAUGAUAGUCUUCUAUCAGUAUAACAUAUAAUGACAAUCAGUGAUAGAAUUUGCUAUAGGUUGUAAAUAUUUUGUAUUUCUAAAUUUUUUUUAUAAUAAUAACUAAAGUAAAUAAAUAAUAAAUUUAAAAAGAAAUUGUAAUAAAUAGAACCUUACAUCAAAUAAUUACACUUCAUACAAAAAUCAAGUUUAAUAAAUUUUGUAUUAAUGGUUUUGUUUUAGGAGAAUUUUCAAAAUUAGUAAAUUUUGCAAAAUAUUUACAACCUAUAACAAAUUCUAUCAUUGAGAAUCACUGAUAUGUUAUAGUGAUAAAAAAUUAUCAUUGAUAGAAUGCAAAAUUUUGUUAUAACUUGUAAAUAAUUUAAUUUAUUUUGCUAUUUUUAAAAAUUUCUCUUUGCCUCAUAGAGUGUAAAUAGUUUAUCAACUUUUUUUAUUUUUAAAACACCCUAAAAUAAAAAGAAUAAGAAAAAUUGUAAAAAGAAUAAUAAUUUGACAAAAUAUUUAUAACAUAAAGCAAAAUUUUCAAAUGAUAUCCAAUUAUGACAUUGAUAGAUAGUGAUAGAAGUCUAUCAGUAGCUACCAUUGAUAGAAUCCAAAAUUUUGUUAUAGCUUGUAAAUAUUUUAAUUUAGUUUGUUAUUUUUAAAAAUGUCCCAAAUAGUAAUAAUAAUAAUACUAAUAGUAACAAUAAAAUAAAAUAAAGAUAAACUGACAAAACACGAUUGUCUAUCAAUAAUAGACACCAAUAUCGCACGCUUCCACCCGAAAAGCGUCCUCUACGUACCAAGUGUGGACAUGAUCACUUGGACGAACAGACGUUUCAAGGUGAAAUGCCUGAAUAAUCUAGGUAUUUCUUUAAACUUAACUUCAACCUUAGGUGUGAUCAUGGUGGUGAAUAUUUCUAGUGUGCAAUAGGCCAUCAGAAGAUAUAAAACAUUAGUAGUCCUUUUAUUCACAAUCUUAUUACAACACAAACGUACAUCUUAUAUGUUGAAUGAUUACAAGACUUAAUCUAACUACUUCUACGCAAGAGAGCAAGUACUUAGGAGUAGUCUCCUUUUGUCUCACCUGAUGACACUUUUUCGCUUAACCUUGGAAAGGAAAACUUAAAAUAUAAUGUCACGCCCUGUCCCAAAAGUUACCUUUAUGCGAUCAAGUGGAGGCGUGACUCCAAGAAAGUCAACACGUAUCACAUUGUGUGAUAAACUCUAAUGCCUAGUAAGCGGAACAACUUCAAUUAGUCCAACUUCAAACAACUCAACUUAGAUGAACAUAAGGCAGCUGAAUAACUUAAACAACCAACCUAAUUCACUUAGCUUUACUUAAGCUUUUUAACAAAUAAGCAAUAAACACCAAACAAUCAAAUAGAAUAAGCACAACUUCUUUUUAUUAAGUUAACAUUUUACACCACAAUACAAACAUAAUAUCAUGCAUUUCACAUCUAACAGUUACUCACUUGAUAGGAAUAACAACACUUUGUAAAAUUCUUAGAAUAACAACCUUUCUUUAAUUCCUUCCCAAGACUUAUUUUUACUUAUCCUUUUAAUCUGCUUAGUCAUCACUUAAGUCUCCCUUAGCUUGCCACAUUCUACUUUCACUUUACAAAUGGCAGCUUGUAAAUGUGCAGACCAUGCGUCCAUCGUCAACUCAAGAAUAUUAUACACUUUCUUGAAAUUAUAACCUUAUCUUUUCGGAAGGCUAAACUUUUUUCUUGCCUUCUUCAUCUCGCGACAGGCAACAAACGGCAACUUCUUUUACUUGACUUCACUUUAAGUUACCACAAUAGAACGCCCAACUCUUAGCAUUGAAUUCAUACUUCUUACUGCCUCACCAAGCUUCAAUGUGUACUUUCUUCACGAAACGCCUCUUAUUCACAUUAGCCAAAAACAAUCCUUUUAUCAAGGCUUGUUUUCAACAGAACUACCUUUUCUCGAAUAUAGUCCUUACAUAUAAGCUCAUAGCUUGGUGAGUGACAAGGAUUAAAAAAAAAAUUUCAGAAAAUACAAUUACAUACAAUAAAAGCUUUAUCUUAUUUUGAGAAAUGUUUUAACACCUCACUACGUGAUAAACAACACAAUAAUCACAUUAGCCUUUACUUAUUCCUAUUACCUGGAUAUUGAACUUCUUCAUCGCAAUGACUACUGUGAUGAUUAUAACUUCAACAUCAGCUUCUCUACGACGAACCCUCAUUCAAGACCAGUUGCUUCGACGAUUGACUUGAACACGAAUCACUAAACGACUUUAGCAAAUCUUAUACCAAGCAGACGACUGAAGGCGCAUGACAGAAUUUUCUCUUAUGUGGACAUAAUAACUAGUUUUUUUUUAUCGAGAAUAAGAAUAAUGGUUUUGUAUACAUACAAGCAUGACAACAUUACAACUUCACAAACCUAGACAUACUUCAAAUUAGUCAUGUUCUUUUAUACGUGUAUAUGAGAUUGUAGCAUGAGCAUAUCUAUAAUGAAGUUUUUUCCUCCUGUCGUUCUGGUUCUGUAAUGAAGUUUCACCUUUUUUUCUCUAAUAGAACUUCCACUCAAGUAAACACAUAAAAUAAUUCAUCUUCAAACCUAUUUAUACUAUCAUAAAAUUAGGUUAGUUAACAUUACACUGCUCCUAAUCUUGACAGCUUCUACUUAGUGCGUUACAUGUAUUAAGUUUAGUAUAUCCUUCUUAACACAUGUUUAACUUCAACUUAAUCAAUUUUUAGCCGAUGAAUUAAACUCCUCCUUGCGUAGUUCGUCACUUGAUAAUUGGUUAAAUGCUCGUUGCCACCUUUUCUUCUUGUGUUAUCCUGUUGUAUUGCGUUGUCUUUCUUCACAAUGCGUUGUCUGAUUCCUUCGCCUUUGUCCAUUUCCUCUCAUUAUCUCCAAACGACUACUUAAGCUUAAUUAUGCCAACUUUUAAAAAUUAAUUACAAGAAACUCAUUUAUUAGGAUGCGGGUUUCACAAGUGUUAGAUAAUAAUAGUCUAUCAAUGUCUAUUAUAAUCAUCUAUCUAUGAUAUUUUGUUAUAUUUGUAAAUAUUUUAAUUCAAAUACAACAAACUUUUACUAUCUAUUUUGUUUUUAUAAAAUGAAAAAAAAAUCAAAAACAUAAAUUUUGUUUUUAUAAAACAGAAAACAAAAUAAUUACCACACGUAUAUGUUUAUUUUUAAUAAACGAAAAUUAGAAAACAGAAUUUUAGAAACAAAAAAAAAUGAAAGGAUUAUUAAACGAGGUCAUACAGAUUUUAAAAUUUUGUUUUUUUUUUUUAUAGAAUUAGGCUAAAAUUCAACUCAUUGUAAAAAAUAGGAAAAAAUAGGCUUAAUUUUUUUAAAAACAAAUAUUAAUUACUCAAGGCCUAUUUUUAUUUUAUAAAAUUUGAAAAAAAUUAGGUACCAAAAACAGGAGUUUUAGAUGUAAAAUUUGUCAAUUUUCAAAAAUAAAACUCAAAUAGAAAACAAAAUGGUUAUCAAAUAGAGUAUUCAUUCUAAUAUUUUUUUUAAUUUAAUUGAAAUCAUACAUAUGUAAGUUUACAAUUACUCGCAUGUUUACACGCACAAUUUUUCUGUCAUUAUUAAUGAUAUAGCAAUUUAUGAUUUACAACAUAUUUUAUGGAACUAUCCAUUCAUUUUGAAAUGUCUAUUUCCAAAUUGUGCAAUGUUUAUUAUGUAACUUGAACAAAACUAUAGAACGCUGAGAUAAAAGAGUCACAACCUAUAAUUAGAUAGGGUUAAAGGGUAACAGAUUGAUCUUCUUCUUCUUUCUAAUGUGAUCUGUAAGCUAAUAUUUCAAAAAAAUAAUGAAACUAAUAUACAGGCGAAAAAUAAUUAAAACAAGAAUCCUAUGUUCAUAGAAACCACUAAAGAAAAGGGAAAAAAACCCUAUUGGUUGAAAUAAUACUUCACUGCCUUUAGAUUAUAUUGUACCAUCUUUAAUUUGACCUCACGUAAAUCUCUGAUCAUAAGUAACAGGUAUGUGAAAAAAAUUCUUAUAAUUGAAGAGGGAUGGAUAGAGUGUUUUAAGUUAUCUACAAAAUAUGAUCAGUCCAGUUAUCUCAUAUGUCAAAAAUAUUCGAGAAAGUCGUUAGCUUCAAACUUAUGUCUUUGUUUUAAUUAAAAUCAUUCUGGUUAGAAAUACUUUGAAGUUUAGGUGUCUGUAACCGUAGUUAAAUUCCCUUUUGUAUACUCUAGUCUAAGAGAGGAAAAAAAGAGGUAAGUAGUCAAGAGAUUAAAAAGUGAUUUUGUAAUUUGAGAUCGGGAAAAGUGAUAUAUUUUAUAUGGAAGGAAAUUUUCUAGUUCUUGUUUUUUUCUUUGGUUCAAAGUUUUUUCACUUUAAUUCUUGUGUUUUUCGUUUUUAUUAUUUUCUUUUAAUUUCUCUGUUACUUUUCUACUUAUUCAUAUUGUAGAAGUGGAAGGUUUUUUCCAAUGCAACAGGUGAGUACAGAGCAAAUGUUAUAGAAAGAAAAGAAUGGUACAAAAUACUCUUCACACCAAUAUUUUAUACAAUAAUUCAUAACAAUACACACGAUAAACCUCAUGGAUGAAAAUGGCAAGAAAACUAGCUUAUUUUAAUCUCUUUGCACUACCUAUAUUCAUUCAUUGGUCAAAAGAGAGUUCUUGCCAUUUAAUUUCAAGCAAGAUGGGCUUCAAGUUCAUUUAACAAGGCAGUGGGUCAACAAGAAGAGAUUUAAUAAGAAACUUUGUUCUACUCUUUGCAUUUGUGUAUCCAUCUUCAUCCAAAUAAAGCAAGUUCAUAACUCUUGAAAAAUUGAGUACACGCAUUAGAACAGGCAAUGGUACAUUAAAUGGGCGAUAAAAUGCUUCAUUUGUAUCCUUCCAUGCAUCAACCACUUCCUUAUGAAGUUCAACACAAGCUUCUUCUUCUGAACAAUCAUAUUGCUCCAUGUACGAUUCAACGGCAGAAGCUACAUGCUCCCUUUCUUGUUCAAACUGAAAAUAAUAAUAAUAAUAAUAAAUUCAGGAAUGGAUUAUAUUCCACAUGAAAUAUUCCGUUUGGCCGAUUUAAUGGGUUUUGAUAUCAUAUUAAAUACAUAUAAAAUUUCAUCUUAAAACCUAAGUGAAAAUGUAAAGAGUGACCAGAGAAUAUAUAUACACACACCUUGUGGGAAGCGAUGUCGUCCAUGAGUCUACAAAUGAUAGUUGAGGCUUUAAUAAUUUGAGGUCCAUUGGAAAGCCAUUGAAGAACCUCGUUUGUUACAAUGUGAUCACCCAAUCCAAGAAAAGAAAUGGAUAUAAGCAAGGUAUAGCCUGUGGUAUUUAAUGCCAAUUCCAUGUACUCCUUAAAGCUUGGUUUAUACUUUUUAUUUAACCAUUUAGCUUCUUCAAAAUAGGAUUCAGAUAACUUUUUUAUCUGUAACAAUAAAUUAUAUAUAAUAAUUUAGAACACAUGAAUUAGAAAGAAAAAAACAAAAACAGAGGGGUAGGAAAUAGAUAACAAAAAGAAGAAACUUUACUCCUCCUAUUGCAACUUGAAGAUGGAGAGAAUUUUGAUCCUUGCCAAUCUCUUUGCUAAUUUCCUCAUAAACUUCAAACAUUGCUACAUAAAAAGGUUUCAUGUACUCGGGAAGUGUAUGCACCAUGCUUCUAUCCCACCUGAAAAUUUUCACUUUCACAUUUAUUUUAAAUUUUAAUAUUAGAAGUAAAAUUUCUUUUACUUUUUUUCUUUCAUUUUUCUUUUAAUGAUGUUUUCAAUGAGCAGUAGUAGAUAAAUUGUAUUAGAAAAAUAGGUUUUUGAUCUCUAAUUGUUUCCAUCUUUUAACGAUCCAAUUUGAUUUAGUUUUCUAAUUUGAAUUUUGUAGCAAGUUAGACUGUAACUAGAUUAUAUUACAAUCUAGUCUUUUUAUUUUGAAUUAUGUUGCAAUUAAAAAUCAAAUGUCAAUUCUUUAUCUAAGUUUGAUCCAUAAAACUGGUUAGUGUGACAAAUUUGUUCAUAAUAUAAUCGAGAUAGAUUAAGUCAAUAUACAUAAUAAAAAUAUGAUACUUAGGUUUUAUAGUUUGUUUAAAAUAGAGACUAAUUAUUAAUGAUCACAAAUUUAAAAGUCAAGAUUGUCUUAAGCUAAGGUUUAGGUACUAAAUUGUUGUUGCAAACUACUAGAACCAAUUUUAAUCUUUAAUGAUCUAUAUAGACCUAAACACUAAAUGAUUACAAACUAAAAUAAAGUUUGGAAUUAAGAUCAUUACUUAAUUCUAUGAAAAAUUGAAGGACCAUAAACAUAUUAUUUUAAGCAGAAACUUUUAUUAGUACUAGUCAUCAUGGGAAUAAUGAAAUAAAAUAACCUUUGAAUUGCUGGGGCGAGGACUUGGAGUUCUUCAAAUGUUCCAUAGGCAUCGUAAAUAUCAUCUAAAAUUGAAGAAAUUGCAAUUACUUUGGUUAACAUUUUCCUCCCAACGUUGUAUUGAGGUUCAAAGUAUGCUCCCAACGUCCAAAAAUAACACUCUACAAUUCUAUCUCUUGCAAAAGGGAACUUUGUUGGGACAUCUAAAUCCUUCCACCACCUACAAAAAAAAACAAUAUAUAUAUAUAAUAAAUCAAUGAGCUGUCUAAGAAUAACUAAAAAAUAAUUAACAUGUAAUACACACCUAAGUAAAAAAAAGUCAAAGCAGGAUUUUACCCAAUAUGGAAGCAUAUAGUAUGAUAGUAGUACCUGCAGAUUUCGCUUAGCUCCUUUUGAUGAAGUUUUUGUAAUAUGUUGAAGUCUAGUUUAGAGAAUUCAAGCAAAGUCUCACUGUGAGAAGGAUGUUGCUGGUAAAUUUGAAAAUACUCUCUUGCCUUGAUUCUUGGAACACAUUUUCUAAUAGGCAAUUUCAAUGCAUUACUAACUUCAGAUGCAAAAUUUGGAUUAAUAUUUGAGUAAAGAUGAAUAUAUGCUUUAAGAUGUGUGGUUGUAAAUUCAAGAGCUUCCUCAAGCAAAGCUUCUCCAUGCCCCCUC
rnacentral:lncRNA from 1 species